AUUGAACGCUGGCGGCAUGCUUUACACAUGCAAGUCGAACGGCAGCGCGGACUUCGGUCUGGCGGCGAGUGGCGAACGGGUGAGUAAUGCAUCGGAACGUGCCCCGUCGUGGGGGAUAACUAGUCGAAAGACUAGCUAAUACCGCAUACGACCUGAGGGUGAAAGCGGGGGACCGAAAGGACACGCGCGAUGGGCGCGGCCGAUGUUUGAUUAGCUAGUUGGUGGGGUAAGAGCCUACCAAGGCGACGAUCAGUAGCUGGUCUGAGAGGACGACCAGCCACACUGGGACUGAGACACGGCCCAGACUCCUACGGGAGGCAGCAGUGGGGAAUUUUGGACAAUGGGCGCAAGCCUGAUCCAGCCAUGCCGCGUGCGGGAAGAAGGCCUUCGGGUUGUAAACCGCUUUUGUCAGGAACGAAACGGUCGAGGCGAAUACCCUUGGCUAAUGACGGUACCUGAAGAAUAAGCACCGGCUAACUACGUGCCAGCAGCCGCCGUAACAC
rnacentral:rRNA from 1 species